AUUCUCCAUAAUUCCUGCCCCUAAACACCUCUUGCCGCACCACCCAUCAAUCCUAACCACUACCAUACCAUUCCAUAUCCAUUCCCCCAUACAAAUACCACCCAAAACCUGUCCAAAAUCUCUGUGCCGUAGCAAGGAGGAAGGAGGAAUCAUGGAUGCACUUGCUGCGAAGUUGGAGCAUUUUAGGUGUUCUCUUUCUUUGGAUUUCAAUGUUUAAACUUAUUUAUCUUUGCUUUGUGCGUAUGAAGAACUAAACCCCCCCUUGGCUAGGGGGGAUUCGAAAUCAUGUUUAUGCUUGCUAUAUGAUUUGAUUACUUCUAAUUGUGUUUCAUAAGUUGUGAAUUCAAUUUACUUAUCUAUAUGAAUUAAAACUGAUUUGUGUGUGUUGGUUGAGAGUGCACGCUUAAUUUUCAUGCAUAAGUUUGAUGCUAGGAUAUAAGGGAAUUUCACCUAAUCGUUAUGAACUUAUAUUCGAAAGUAGUAAAGGUUGUUGAUCACAAUCAUGUUAAGUAAAUUCUUGGCAUAAGUUUCAUGCAAUUCAUAGUAACAAGUGCCUCGCCAAUGCUUAUGGUUUUCAUAGAACUUAAUGAUCUUUGCUUGUAUCUUUGUUAUGCAAUUCAUGCAGGGAACUUCUGAGGAA
rnacentral:lncRNA from 1 species